UGAGAGAGUGGGAGAAGUUGAUUCUCCAAGGUGACUUCCAGCUUUAAAUAUUUCUGCAUACAGGUCCGUUUAUUAAAAUGGGCCAUUGUGAACACUCUCGUGAAAGAGAAUAGCCUGAUAUGAAUUAUAUAAAGAGAAAUGAGAAAAAUAGAAAAGAUGAAUAAAGGAUCAAUGCACUGAUUCAAAUAAUGAAAAGUAAGUACCACUGAAAGGGGCUUUAAUAUAAAGGAGAGAAUGCCAAAGGUAAUUUAUGGUUUUUGUAUGCAUGAACUGACAUUCACAUGUACUAUUGAUAUAGGUAUGCAGAUGUAGAAAUCUUUAUCUUUUCUUUUUAUUACAGUCAGAGUGACUCUACACACUUCCUGCUUCCACGUUUAGCAUCCCCAAGUGAAGAGAUAUGAAGAGUGUUCAAAAGAUGCUACAAAAUGUUUAGUUUUCAACUCUCCAGAGGAAGCUGACAUGGCAACACUCUGUUAUUUGAAGAUUUGAGUUUUCCUACUACAAGGAUACAGAAGGAAUAAGUGCUUUCUCCAACAUCAUAUCAAAAGGAUGUAGUGGGAAAUUAACACACAUGCCUGAAUUUUUG
rnacentral:lncRNA from 1 species